rnacentral:pre_miRNA from 1 species
AGCCACUGACUAACGCACAUUGUGCCUGCUGCCAGUUCCACUGUGCGUGUGACAGCGGCUAA